rnacentral:tRNA from 1 species
CAAAUUAGAGCUUAGAAGCAUUUCAUUUACAUUGGGAAGAUAUUAAAAUUAUUUUAAUUAAUUUGA